CCUGAGAAACCCAAAAGAUCGAAUGGGGAGAUUCAUCGCAAGCGUAGUUGGCGCUUGUGCGUUUCUCGAUGCCUUGGGACCUCGGUCCCGAUGGCACGGGUUCGCAUGGUUCGACAUGUCAAUUAUCGUCGGCGUGCACUUCUCCCCUAGUAGGACGUCGCGACCCGUUGGGUGUCGGUCUACGGCCCGGGCGGUAGCCUGUCACGUGUCGCGCUUAACGGCGUCGUCUCACGUGGCAGUCCCCCGGCUGCCCGACCAGCUGCCCGGCGGUACUCGCACGGUAUAGAGCCGCAAACGCGCGCGCGCCCUCGCCGGUGCGCGUGCGCUGCGUCCGGCCCGUCGCAAGCGAGGCAAGUGUUCUUCCCGGAUGGUAACGGACCUGGUGCCGUCGCCGGGCCUGGCCAGCUGUUGGUUGACGGUGAUCUCGGAUCGGCUCGCUCUCGAAUGUGUAUUACCGGUCGGCGACGCUACUGCUUUGGGUACUUUCAGGACCCGUCUUGAAACACGGACCAAGGAGUCUAACAUGUGCGCGAGUCAUUGGGACGAUAUAAAGCCUAAAGGCGCAAUGAAAGUGAAGGUCGGCCCCGCGCCGAACGAGGGAGGAUGGGCCGCGUCACGAUGCGGUCCCGCACUCCCGGGGCGUCUCGUUCUCA
rnacentral:rRNA from 1 species